rnacentral:rRNA from 1 species
UAAUACGUAGGGUGCGAGCGUUAAUCGGAAUUACUGGGCGUAAAGCGUGCGCAGGCGGUUUUGUAAGCCAGAUGUGAAAGCCCCGGGCUUAACCUGGGAAUGGCAUUUGGGACUGCAAGGCUGGAGUGUGGCAGAGGAGACUGGAAUUCCUGGUGUAGCAGUGAAAUGCGUAGAUAUCAGGAGGAAUACCGAUGGCGAAGGCAGGUCUCUGGGCUAACACUGACGCUCAUGCACGAAAGCGUGGGGAGCAAACAGGAUUAGAUACCCUGGUAGUCCA